ensembl:lncRNA
GUUGAAGUGAGAUUCAGGUUGUUUCCUCUCAUCCUCGAGGGCAGCUGGCAGCAGAGUCGUCCACUCAGUGGAGUGCAAAUGCCUAAUUGGAUUUAUUUGUGUGGCUUGAAUAUGGAGCCAUUUGCUUAAUUUUCCUAGUGAGUGUGCGGUCCAAUUUGCAAGCCUUGUUUAUCCUGCCUUAUGAAAGAGGAGCUCUCACUGUGAUGAGAGUAUAAUGGCAGUCUGAUUGGAAAAGGUCACACCUUGCGCGUUAAUGCCGCCUCACCCGAGAUAUGGAGCACACAAGUGGGAGUUAUCGGCAGAUAUUCGGUAAAAGGUGUUUGAUUGCUCUGUAGUUCCUUGUGCUUCCGAUUCACGGUUUAUUUCAAGAAGCUUUUUGUCACCAACAGGGUUAGGGUUUGCACUAGAUCAAGGUCCUGGAACCCCCAGGGGCCACCAGGAUUGUUGUAGUAGGGGGUCUGUGGAAGAUUUGAGAGAAAAAAUAUUGUUUAAAUGUAUAACUGCACUGCACAAAUUAAUGUAUAAAUAAAUAUUAUUACAUUUUAAUAAAUUGCUUGGUGUCAACACAAUAACAAUAUAAUACAACAGUAUUAUUUAUUAAUUAUUAAAGUCAACAUGAAAUGAAAAUUCACCGUAUUCGCCAUAAAAUUCAUUCUAUUUUCUAAAUGCAUGUUAGAUUACUGUAAACACAUCAUUUAUGUAUGUUUUCUUAAUUUAGAUUACACCAUUAAUCUAAAAGACAAGAAAAGAAAAUAUAGCUGCACUACAAAACACGAAAUCCAUAACUUUUUGUUAGCACAUCUGAGUCGAUUUUUGUGAAAAUCAGACAAACGGUCUAGGAGGAGUUGAAAAAAAGUAGGUUUUCAGCAUUAAAUGGUGGACAGGGAGUACAGCUGACUAUGGUAAAAUUGGUAUCUGUGUUCUCCAAAUUAAUAUUUUGAGACCAGUUUAAUUACAAUAGGCUAACAUACUCAGAAGUUAUUAGUAUUUUUGUAAAUUUCAUUAUAACUUUUGACCACAAGGUGGUGCUGCUCUUAAACUUUUUGCAUACUAUCAGGGCAUAGUGCCGAAGACACGCCGCGUUUCGUAACGAUGUGCCAAUGCCUUCAUAAAAUUUAGCAUUUUACGACAACAUUCAAAAUGGCCAACGCCCAAAAAGGCUGCCAUGGGAAAAUUGGGUAUGGUUCCACUUAGCACGCUGCACUGAAUCUAAAGAGACCUUUUUUGAAUUUUUGUGAUUUUUGGCCAUACCUUUCAAAAGUUAUAAGCAAAAAUAGGCUUUUUUAAUAUCUCCUGACCACUAGGUGGUGCUUCACCGAAACUGUGCAGGUAGCCUCAGGUCAUGGUUCUUAUAAUGCACACCAAGACUGGUCUCCAUCCACUAAAGCGUUGUGGAGUUAUAGCCUGACAUCCAUUUUGGCAUGCUCUUUGUCAAAUUCGUUUGCGUGUUAUUCGAGAACAAUUUGACUAAUCAACUUGAAUUCCAUAACUUUUUGCCAGCAUGGUGUGAAGAAGAUCUGACUCAAUUUUGGUGUAAAUCAGACAAACUAAAAGCAGGUUUUUCAAACUAUUAAAAAUUGCUAAAAAUCUUGACCUAUAGAAUUUUCAAUUUUGGUGUGCAUUCAACUCUGCGUGAGCCAAGGAAUCAGGAAAAAAGAAUGUUCAAUUUAAACUUUACGGUUCAAAUGAAUAGCAUAAAUAUAAGUGCAACUUUGAACAGUUGGUGGCGCUAGAGGGAUUGAGUUAGAGACUCCAAACUUGCUAUGGUAACAGAUCAGACUGUCCUCUAACUGUAUGCCAAAUUUCAUAACUUUCCCACAAGUGGUUCUAUGGGCUGCCAUAGACUUCCAGAGCAGAAGACGAAGAAGAACGGAAACAAUACAGUAGGUGCCAUUGCAUCUUCAGUGCUUGGCCCCUAAAUAUGCAUGACUUCCAGUUUUUGUCUGCUUAAACCCUGCCACCUAGUAAAUGAAAAAAAAAAAAAAAAAUACAUUUUUACAUAUUAUCAUUGCAUUAUUUAAUAUUCUUAAAGUGGGCAUGAAAUUAAGAUUCAGCCUAUCACCCUAAAUUCACUGUACAUUUUGUUACAGAUGUUAUAGAUCUUAUUGUGAACAAUUCAUCCAUGUUUAUUUUAUUCUAUUCUAUUCUAUUCUAUUCUAUUCUAUUCUAUUCAUACCUAAAACUUCUAGUGAAAAUGACAGAUUUCUGUUUGUUCAUCUGCCUACAUUUUUGAGUGGAACGUCUACUUCUUCAAAUUCAAUCAACAACUGAUUCAUAUAGAGCCAUGUCCCCACCCUACUCCCCCCACCAUGGCUGCAGGGCCCCCCUAAAAGGUGCAGUCACACCAGAUACUUCUGGCCAUAAAGAGUAUUUCAAAACCACUGAAGCAGAUCAUUUCCUUCGUGGACCAAAUUAUUUCUCAAGAUCUUGAAAAGGACAUCAUCAGCACAUUUAUUAUCACAAAGGGCACAGAAGUCAGUGUGCUUCCUGCACCAGCCCAGUAAAUUCAGUCUCUCUCGCCAAUGUGAUUUUACACUUUUAUCAUGAGGUACUUUUACCUGAUUAGUCACCGUCUGCUUUGGGCCGCAUUGGUUCACUGCAACAGGAACAUGAACCAUAUUACAGGUUCUGCAUCACCUGUGUCUAAUCAAUGAACUGUACAGCUUCAUUACUCUCAAUAACUACCAGUGACCUUCCUCUGUUAUACUGCUUUUAUUUACCUUCUCACUGGAACCUACAGCACUGUAAGUCUGUUCUGACUCUGUUUUCUCAAGAACAUGUGCUCACACCUCUUCUCUUAUGUUCAAUUCCGUAUGCAUGCACUGUAUUUCUGUCUGUGUGUAGUUACAUUUGCUGAAGGCAUUUUGCAAGUUCUGAUUAAACAAAACAAAUUACUAAAGCACUUCAACCUACCUACCAAAGAAGAAACUCUUGUUCUGGACUGUUACAGUAUACAGUUCGCCAUAUAGAGAGAUCAAGCACAUUCAGCUUCCAGACAGGAUUUUAUGUGGUUGCUUUCAUUAAAAUUCAUCACUCAUCACUCCAGAACUUGAUUAGUCAUUCGCAAAAAUUUGUUUGUGUUGAAAGGGUCAUCUUCUGCUGGCUUGUGCUGCACAGUGUUUGGGAAAAUAUGUAUUAGAGCAUUGUUGUGACGAUGUUCAUGAGUUUUCUGGGUGCUAGCAAGGACACACAAUAUGAAUACAGGAAGCAGAAAAAACACAAAAACAAUGCAAUAGAGUGCAACAAUAAGAUUACGAAAGUAAAAAUCAGAUUCACUUUCUUCAUAGAGAAAUUGAUUUUUAACAAAAAAAAAAAAAAAAAACAAUACAAAGCUUUCAGAACAGACUCACUGUGAGCUCCAAGAAUGUCAAGUGAAUGUACUGUAGAAGCCAAUUCAUUUAAUUUUCCUUGAAAACACUGUGAAUAUGCUUCCCACAAUCCAGUCUGCCUUCACACUCUAACUACUUGUAUAUUUGUAUUUAACUGAUUAUUUUGCAAAAAAUAUAUGCCUCUACUCAAUGACUAUAAUCAGUUAUUUUAUAUUGUACCAUAGUUUUGGUUUGAUUACCCAGUUUAAUGUUUAAUGUUUAUUUAAUUUCGGUCCUCACAGACAAUCAAUCAUACAAAAAUAAAUAAAGUUGUACAUAAUAACCGAAAAGGUGUAGGCUGAAGCCUCUGCUUAUUAAGCCUACCCUUUGUACAUAAUUAUCAAUCAAAUGAGCGGCACUUUUUCACUAGUAGCGAUUAAUACAAGGCAC